rnacentral:lncRNA from 1 species
AGAGGCCAGGAAGAAAGAGGAAAGAGAAGAGAUCGCUCAGGGUCUGUGGUGUGUGGUCCAUCCUCUUGCUGAGCACAUUGAAAGGAACUGGCUAUCUUUGAUCUCUUCCUCCAGGGGAUGAACUGUAGCCUCCUUGGAACAUACUACACUUGCAAUAAUUUGCGCAUUAACCAUCAAGACACUUCAGUAAAGCUAUGCAGUGCCAAUAGUUUAAGCUGGAUCCUAUUUUGCCCUAACACAAAGUGAACUGAGAUGACUAUAUUUAUAUUUCAUUAUACUUUUGAAUUUUAGUUACAGUGAUUUUUGUGUCAACACCUCCAUAUAUUAGAUAACUUAAAAUGUGCUAUAGUAUCUCAAGUUUUUCAGUAGUGUUUUUAACAUAAUUAUUUUUUCUCUUUGACAUUAGCAUUCUAGAUGUAACACUUUGGAUCUUUUAAAGAUAAAUUUAGGAUAAAUGAUAGCAGAUUUUAUUAUUAAACAAUUUAUUUGUAUUUUCUGGUCACUGACUUUAAUAUUAUGACUGAUGAGAAAUAAUAUGAUAUCUGAAUCCCCAAAAACAGAAGGCCAAUUUGAAUUAUAUAAUUUAAUCCUUUGAAGAAUAUUGCAAUUUAAGCCAGAAAUUUAAUAAUUAUCCGUUUCUUAUUUUAAAACCUUUCUGGUUUGUAUAUCUCUUGCUUGGCAAUAUUUUUACUCAUAGUUUUGUAGUAAAGAUACCUAUUUAACAUUGUAUAACUCUGCAUUUCCCAAACCCUGUUUUCCUUGUCCUGGCAAAAUACUGUU